UACGGAGGAUCCGAGCGUUAUCCGGAUUUAUUGGGUUUAAAGGGUGCGCAGGCGGGAGAUUAAGUCGGCGGUGAAAUUUUGCAGCUCAACUGUAAAAGUGCCUUCGAAACUGGUUUCCUUGAGUGUAGAUGAGUAGGCGGAAUUUGUGGUGUAGCGGUGAAAUGCAUAGAUAUCACGAGGAACUCCGAUUGCGCAGGCAGCUUACUAAACUACUACUGACGCUCAGUCACGAAGGCGUGGGGAUCAAACAGGAUUAGAUACCCCUGUA
rnacentral:rRNA from 1 species